rnacentral:rRNA from 1 species
GUAGAACGCUGAAGGAGGAGCUUGCUUCUCUGGAUGAGUUGCGAACGGGUGAGUAACGCGUAGGUAACCUGCCUGGUAGCGGGGGAUAACUAUUGGAAACGAUAGCUAAUACCGCAUAACAGUAGAUGUUGCAUGACAUUUGCUUAAAAGGUGCAAUUGCAUCACUACCAGAUGGACCUGCGUUGUAUUAGCUAGUUGGUGGGGUAACGGCUCACCAAGGCGACGAUACAUAGCCGACCUGAGAGGGUGAUCGGCCACACUGGGACUGAGACACGGCCCAGACUCCUACGGGAGGCAGCAGUAGGGAAUCUUCGGCAAUGGACGGAAGUCUGACCGAGCAACGCCGCGUGAGUGAAGAAGGUUUUCGGAUCGUAAAGCUCUGUUGUAAGAGAAGAACGAGUGUGAGAGUGGAAAGUUCACACUGUGACGGUAUCUUACCAGAAAGGGACGGCUAACUACGUGCCAGCAGCCGCGGUAAUACGUAGGUCCCGAGCGUUGUCCGGAUUUAUUGGGCGUAAAGCGAGCGCAGGCGGUUAGAUAAGUCUGAAGUUAAAGGCUGUGGCUUAACCAUAGUACGCUU